ACUAGACAGUCUUUUGCACCACAACAAUUACCAGGAAAACCCAUCUUGCCAUCUGCUCAGCUGCGAUGCCAGACCUGUAGCUCAAUCUCCAAUUGCAGUUGUAUCACUUGCUCUUCUCAGCCUCAAAGUACCACCAGAAUUUCUUCUUGAUUCAACAGCAAACAAACCCACUGCUAAUUUCUUCAUGACAGAAACUCUCAGAUUCAGAACCCAACAGAACUCUCUGUUAAUAAUCCAUGGAAACACAUCUUCCAUACCCUGUAUUACCAACUCGAACCCACGAGAUCCAUUCAUCAUAUUCUCUCUCAAUUUAUGUUCUUCAGCAGUUCUAUCAUCUCUUCAUGUAAAUCAACAGCAACAAGAGUCCAUCGAUUAAACCCAUUACGAACUCCAAUUUCUCAGACCGUCAACAACACCAAACUCCUCCCUGAGUUCAAUUUCUCCUCUUCUACGAACCCAUCUUGCUGCCGAUUCUCUAUUCAGCUCAAACCCUUAAACCAACAACGUUCUUCUCUACUUCUUCAUCUCUGUCUCGAUUUGUCUCAGACCCAUCUUCAAUUUCUGCUCAAUUUGAUUCAACAGCAUCGAUGUCUUCAUGUAAAGUUCAAGAACACAGCACUGCAUCUCUAUCUCAGAUUCAAACUAAAAACCCAUUCAAUUCACGGUACCACCUUCAUCAGUUCUUCAACAGCGCUACCAACAACCACUCUCAAUCUCUUGAUUUCUCUCAUUUUUGAUCUGCCUCAGCUAGGUUUCACAACAGCAGCCGCUGUUUAAUUUUCUUUCUUCUCAAUUUCAGGGUCAGGUGCAAAUGAUUUUAUUUUCUUAUUUUUGCUAGAAAAGAUAUAUUGUUAGUAGAAAUUAAGUUUAAUCCCAUAUUUGUUGGGUCUUAUUGUAAAAUGUUUUCUUUCUAUCCAAAACAUUUCUUUUUUCCGAGUUUAAACAAAUUUGAAUUCUCAAUUCUCUACGACAUCUAGGAGCUAAAAUAUUUUCAGGAACAAUAAAAGCAUAAUUUUUUUCAUCUCUCUUUUCAAGCACCCUUUCAUGUCUAUGUCUUUUAAUGGAUUCAUCAAAAGAAUUAUUAUAACCGUUUUCUUUUUGUUGGUUUUUUCUAUUAGUUUGGUGAUUACUCUUAUGGACCAGUGAAAUAACUAUGGUUUGAUACAUAAUAAAAAGUCCAUGUUCUAGUCCUACCAUCCCAGGCCUAGUACUGGUUAGUCAUAAUUUACCAAAUCCAAUACGAGUUAGUCAUAUUCUUUACGAUUCAGUCCAAAUUGAAUUUUUUGAUGGCAAAUAUAACCCUCUUGUAAAACCUAGAGUACUAAUUUGUUCGUAAUUCAUUUUUCACUCUCUUAUCGGCGAUGAAACCUACCGCGAAGAAGAAGAAUCUUCCAUUUCUCUUUAAUCUGGAACGGAAGUGAUGAGAAAUCUUGCAUUUCUUCAUAUCUUCAUCAAUUUUUUUUUAUCUUACAUCAGUUCUUCUUCAUCCAAUUUACAUAAAUCUCAGAUUCUCGGUGUUAAUAAAGUUUGUUGAAGUGUAAAUCCCAGGAGUAAGUUUAGUUGUAACUAACCGACGGACAUGAACGAAGAAGAUAUGAUUGAAUGUGUUAAUAAACUGAGAGAAAUGAAGGAAGAAUGUUUCAUUCAUGCUGGAAGAGGAAAACAUAGAGUGCGAUUGACACGGUGCGUUUGCAUACACCUCUGGUUGAGUUGAUGCUAUGAGUUGAUGUUGAUUAGUUAAGCACCCUGUAUGUGCACAAUAAAGGAUACUCACACAUAUCUGGAUUUUUCUUCAGUACCGAUUUUAAGUUUUUCCGUAAUCCUCAUGUCUUUGGCAUUGAAAAUCACCACUGCUGUACACAUCAUGAGUCGUCGACGGAGUAUAGCGUUCAACUGGAUAUGGGUUAACACGCACCAUAUAUGAUGGAUCUGACAAAGUCAUAGGCAGGCCUUGCGAGGAAGAUCAUGUAAUGGUAUUUCAUUUUGUUUAUAGGGAAAUCAGGUAAAAACAUCCUUAUUAAACAGUUUUUCAUCUAUGUGCAGAUAUAUGACAUUUUACAUAGUAACAUAUGACAAAAAUUACAUGUGUACAUAUUAGUACACUUGUAAUAUAAGUGUACAUUUUUGUGCACAUGUGACAAAAUUACAUGUGUACAUAUUAGUGCACCUGUAAUUCAAGUGGACAUUGUUGUGCACUUUAUUUUUUUAAGGCUGGGCGUAUCUCUGCAAUUCAGAGCUAGUUUGGCUUGGCGGUAGGGACCACUGAUGAGUAAUAAAAUAUGUCUGUCAUUUUAUUACUACCAAAAAGUUGUGUGUUUCAGUGUGGAACUAGUUUGGCUUGGUGGUAGGCAUCGUAACAUCAACUUCCCUUGCUUUUGGUCACCAAUAAAUGACUACAUUUACUGACAUGGAACAGGUGCUCUAGCAAUUGCAGUUUCCAAUCCUACUGAAUCUUUUAAAAGUCCAACUUCAAUCAGAAGGAAAAUUGUCACUUGUGUACAUAGUUAUACACAAGUUGAUUCUUAGUGUUUACAUAAUUGUACACCUGUUGAUCGUGAAUGUGCACAAAGUUGUACACUUGUUGCUUUUUCAUUUUUGAUAAAGAUUAAAGUUCAAUGACAUGGAAGUCCUUUGAGUUGACGUAUUUCUUAAUUGUCAUUUUGAAAUUGCGUUAUGUUUUUCGUGCUCACUGAUUAGUUUUUCUUAUUCAAGUUUAAUUUGGCAUAAAGUGUCAGUUUACGUUACACAAUUUGGUAAUGUUUUGUAUAAAUAUUCUAUUGUGAAACAUUUUGUGGUUCUGCAAUGACGAUAUAAAUACUUCUUAAGUUGACUGUGAUCAAUUUAGUUAGUAAUACCCCGAGUGAGUCUUAUUACAGCUAACUACUUGUAGGAUAUUAUGCUUGAAUAAGCUCAUAGUGAGAUACUAAUUUCUUGUCUUACAACAACAAGGUGAGACAAAGUGUUCAUAUCAUAUGAACACGGAGCUAUGCAAGUUUGGUUUAGCAUGUAAAUUUUAUCGUGCAAAUCCAGCUGGUGCAUCUAUGCCUGCACCAGCAGUUGCACGUGCACCUACAUUUUAUCCCACUAUGUAGUCUCCUUGGUUCCUUCUCAGACAUAUUGGCAAGUUCCAAGCCCUCGUUUUUUGCUGGUUCAUAUAUAUAAGAAGCACUUUUGUGCCUAUGUUUCUCCCGCAAUGAAUAGUUCCCACGUUGAAUUCUUUAUCCGGUAUAUGCAUGAACACCUCUUCUCAUUAAUAUUUUUUAAAAUAAUUUAUUAUAUGUAAAAUUGAUUAUUAGUCUUCUUUUGUAACAUUCAAGAAAAUGAUAGUCAAUUAUAUGCGCUUGUUUGGGUAUUCGGUUGGCAAACGUGACAAGUGUAUUUUCUUGUACACCAGUUAUAUGGGUGCAAAUAAAAGUGCAUCUCUUUUUUGUGCUUGUUACAAGUGUAUAUGCUUGUACACCUUGCUCUUGCUCUUAGAGCUUCAAUGGAGGAAGAGAGGGCAAGAAAGGAUGCUGCUGCAAGGGAUGCAGAAGAAAAAGGAGGUGGACAGGUUUCAAGUUCACAUGAUACAACUAUGACUGAAAACGCUGGCAUUAUAUCUGAUGGAGCUAAUACAUACGAUUUGAUGGCAGGUCUCAUGCUUGUUACUGGUUGUCCUGGGGUUGAAUAUGUGGUUAGAAACAUGAUGCAGUUUAUGAUUGUACAUGAACUAGAAGAUGUGGUUUUCUGCAGUGAAUAAAAGAUGUGUUUGGUUUGAUUUAGAGUUUAUGCCUGCUGGAGUCAGAAAGAAGAUGGUGUUACUGAGAUUUCAAGGGUGUUAGAACUGUUGAUUUUGUGAAUAUGAGAUGGAGACAGUACUGUUACUUUGUGUGAUUUAGAGUUUGCAGUGACUAAGCUGAUAACGAAAUGAAGAAGCGAUGUGUAUUGUUGCUGGCUGAGCACUUACAUGGUAUGGAUGAGCUGCAGCUGGCUAUGAAGCAAUUGCAGGUGAUGCUAUGGGAAAUUUAGAAGAAUGGGUUUGCUUCUAUGUUGCGGUACAAGGAAUGGUGCAACUGAGUAACUGGUGUUAUUGAGAUGGUAUAACUCUGAAGUGGUGAUCAGGUAAAUAAAUAUCAAAUGCAGAUGGAAUUGCAAAGAUGAAAUCUGAAAUGUGUGAUGUUGGUGGUACUGAGGAGUAGAAUUUAUGUUGUUGUUGGAUGGGUAGUGUUGCUGCAGAAAAGUGCAACUAAGAUUGGAAAGCUACAUAAACGGAUAAAAAACUUGAGUUGAAUGGUUGAGGUGCUGUAGUUGUUUACAGCAGCAGGGUUAAGAGUGGUUGAGCGCUGGAGCUGGUGUUGGUAAUGAGUUUCGGUUGUAAACAGGUGUAUUUUGUAGAUGUGUACAUGUUAGUACACCAAUGUAAACUAAGUUUUUUAAAAAUGAGAAUUAUAUAGUCAUAUGGGUACUCUUUUUGUAACUCUGAAAGAGAUUUCCAAAUAUAUAAAGUUUGAAUUUUGGACAAA